UAUUUAUUUAGUAUAAUAAAGUACAUUAAGCUUCCAACUUAAAAGUCUUAUUAAGAAUAAAUAA
rnacentral:tRNA from 1 species